UGAUAGCUAUGAAGCGUGAGGUUGCUGCCAAAGCUAAGUGCUCAGGCACAUUCGUAAGAGCCGAUGGCAGGUUUUCCGUGGAGCGAAUGUCAAGUUAGGAAACUGGCGACAA
rnacentral:ncRNA from 1 species